UUCGUUUUUUACUUAUUGCAUGAAUCCUCAAGUCUUAUACCGUGCUCCUCAUGGCUGAAUAAUAUCAAACUAAGUGGGAAAAGCAUGGAUUCAACAAAACGACGAAACUUCAACCAUAGCAAGAUUGUAUAGAGAAACACCAGAAUCCUCGAACAGACAUAAAAGCCAAAACGUUCGUGAGCAAUUGCCCAGAACAAAUAACGUAGGUGAACACCAAUCAGCCACACCCAAAACGGUAAAGCACAGGUAAACAUCACACAGUAGUGGAACUUACGCCGGAUUUAUAAGCAUUACUGACAGGUAAACAUUCGGCACACCAUGCAUAAUUAUCAGGCUUGUACUUUGAUGUGAUGUGCACCAGGAUCAACCAUUUUCAUUAGACACUUCAAAAAAAGGUACUCAAAUCCCCACAGCUGAAUGUAAUAUAACACAAUCAGAUGCAGCAAAGAGCAGGUACAAACGUAAAGGAAGCAAUUCAAAAAAAAUGAGAAUUAU
rnacentral:lncRNA from 1 species